rnacentral:rRNA from 1 species
UACGAAGGGGCUAGCGUUGCUCGGAAUCACUGGGCGUAAAGGGUGCGUAGGCGGGUCUUUAAGUCAGGGGUGAAAUCCUGGAGCUCAACUCCAGAACUGCCUUGAUACUGGGAAUCUCGAGUCCGGGAGAGGUGAGUGGAACUGCGAGUGUAGAGGUGAAAUUCGUAGAUAUUCGCAAGAACACCAGUGGCGAAGGCGGACUCACUGGCCCGGUACUGACGCUGAGGUGCGAAAGCGUGGGAGCAACAGG